rnacentral:lncRNA from 1 species
UAAUAAGCAGAAAGUGAUAGGAGUGAGAUACAAGAGUAAAUACUCCUAAUCAGAGCAUAGAAAGUCUAGGUGCAGUCCAGUAGGAUAAGUACAAGUUAUACAGUACCAGAAGAUAUCCUACGAAUAUUUUAUUCUGUCAAAACCGCCGAGAUCCUCAAUGCCACCAACAGCAAGUCAACCUAAACCUGGAGGGGCGCAAAACAGAAAACGUGAGUGGGCAAAAACAAAGGUUUUGAGAACACAUUUAACUUUCAAAUGCUCUAACCCAUUGUUGUAAAACAUGUAUACUAUAUAUCAAUUCCAAUCAUGCUACACAUAUUCAUAAUCAUAAGUAUGCCAUGCCAAGAUAUAAACAGAAUAAGUAACUUAAGUGAAAAUAAAUUCAUGAAAAAUAAUACAUUAACCGGAACCCCUACAGAAGUCUGUACGGCUGAAUUCAUAGCUCAUUAGUCAAUCUAGCCGGAGUCACUGCAAAUGACCUAUACAGCACUACAUUGCACACAAGUCGGAACCACUGAAAAGGUUUGUACGACAAGACUGGGUGUAAUAUAAUUAUGAUCAAUAUUACGCUCUCAUGAUAGCUGUGCGAUAAAUCGCUAGUCACCUACGAGUCGGAACCUCCUAUAAUGGUCUGUACGACAAGACUGUGCACCUAAAUUGGAUCCAAUGUGAGCAUAGGGUGCGAGAGGUGACAUUAUAUACAGGCAUGUGCCAUAUCUCUUGCUAAUCACUAACACCGGGGUGCAGGUAUAUGAGCUCUAUGCUUCUCAAUUAAUCACAACCGUUAUUCACAUUCAUAAUCCAUAAACUCACCUGGGCUUACCUAAGCAUCCACAGAACCACAAUUAUAUAAAAUGCAUCAUAUACUAAUUCAUAUACUGAACAUAAAUUUAUAUGCAUGGCAUUUCAAGGCAUACUUUCAUUUAAACGCAUUUUCUGGGAAAUUAUCAAGUAUAUAAGUAUAUACUGAAAACCAAAAGCCUACACACUAGUAUGUCGAAGGGUUGUAGCCCCCGAGUCACCUUGACUGCGCUCGUUCUCGAGAUAAGUCUCACCUAUAUGCGAAACAACUAUAAAAACGUUAAUUUAAAGCACAUAACCAAUAUUAGCUAAUAAUUUCUCAUACAUUGCUCGAAUGGGAUGUUUGAAUAUACCAACGUGAUCUACACAACCUCACGAACAUCCCCAUAUUUUUAGAAAAAAUUUCUGACGUCCCAUGCGCCGACAAGGGCAUGGCAACACGCGCAGGGACCCUAACGGAAUCCUUUAAACUCGUUAGGAAUAUUCCGUGAAAUAUUCCGUUAAAAAGUAACAAAAACCGUUAAUUCUACCUGACGGCGUCAGAAUAUUCCAUCAACUCUGACGAAAUAUUCUAUCUUCUUCUCCGGUUAGCCUCGUCGGUCGCCGUCGUCGUUCACCAGAAACUGGAAAAUCACGAAAACCUUCAUAUCUCGUCCAAUUCUCAACCAAAUUCCACGAAACUUGAACCAAAUUGAAGCUUAGGACAAGUAGAACAAAACCUUACCUUUCAAAAGUCCUAAAACCGACGGAACUCGUCGAAAAAUCCUUCGAUAUUCCGGCUAAAUCUGCAACUCCCUAUUCCCGAGCUUCCCAACGUCCAAAUCACUUCAUUUUUCUUCUCUGAGCCUCGUGAAGACGAUCUAAAGCUCCCUAUAACUUCAAAACUCUAAGAAAACUACACAUUUACGUGUGCAUGAACAAUACCUCAAAUCGGAGGUUAUGGUUUCUCGGGUUUUACAAGCUUUCAAGUCCUAAAAAUUGUACGAAUGGACUCAGGAGCUUGUAGGGAACAAGAACAUCACCUUUUUAACGUUG